AUUGAACGCUGGCGGAAUGCUUUACACAUGCAAGUCGAACGGCAGCACGGGGCAACCUGGUGGCGAGUGGCGAACGGGUGAGUAAUACAUCGGAACGUGCCCAAUCGUGGGGGAUAACGUAGCGAAAGUUACGCUAAUACCGCAUACGAUCUACGGAUGAAAGCGGGGGAUCGCAAGACCUCGCGCGAAUGGAGCGGCCGAUGUCAGAUUAGGUAGUUGGUGGGGUAAAGGCUCACCAAGCCGACGAUCUGUAGCUGGUCUGAGAGGACGACCAGCCACACUGGGACUGAGACACGGCCCAGACUCCUACGGGAGGCAGCAGUGGGGAAUUUUGGACAAUGGGCGCAAGCCUGAUCCAGCCAUUCCGCGUGCAGGAUGAAGGCCUUCGGGUUGGUUAAAC
rnacentral:rRNA from 1 species